AUGUGGCCCGUGGGCUGUAGUUUGCCCACCUUUGAUCUUGACUGAAAGCAUCUUGUCCAGUGGGCAUUACCCAGGUAUAACUCCAUUUGAAAUACAGUUACAUAGUCAACGUUCAUAAUUUCAGACACAAAAAUGGUACAUGCAAACAAAUAGAAUAAUCAUAUUCAGCAAGUGAUAACUUUUCCAAGGACACCUUACAUGACUUAUCCUGCAUAACAUAUAUAAUAAUUAUAUCUUAAUCAAUCAUAAUAAUAUCACUGUAAAGAAUAUGGGGUGCAGCGUCCCACCUAGUUUAACAAACUGUGGCUAUAUAGAGAAUGGUUAUUUACCUUUUAGUAACUGUGGUUCUUGAAGAUGUUAUCUUUGGGUCCUUCUCUAGAAGACUGAUAAGCAAUGCUCCAUAUGGAAGACUGCCACUAACUAAAAAGGUGUCUGAAAGAGUGCCCUACCAAAUUUGACUUCUGAUGUUGUGGCCAGGUUGAGGGCAUAGUGUUUAACAAAAGCAAGGGAUUACUCCAUGUAGCUGCCUUGGAAAUCUCAGAUCUGGGGAUGUUUCUAAAGCAUGCAGAGAAGGCAACCUGUGCUUCAGUACAAUGUUAAUGUUUGGAGGAAGAUGUGUAAUAGCCAUGUGAUAGCAGAUGGAAAUACACUUCGUAAUCCAUUUAGAAAUUCUUUCAGAGGAGAUGACAUUGACCUUUAAAAACACCAGAGAUAGCAACAAAAAGAUAGGGCAUUUGUCUGAAAGGCUUUGUUCUAUCAAGAUAAUAUAAUGUCCAAGGUGUGGAGUUUUUUUCCCUGGAAAGAAAUGAGGUUUUGGAAAGAAAAUGAGUAAAAUAAUAGUUGGAGUCAAAUUAAAAUGACACAAUUUUGAGAAUAAAUUUUGAAUGAGGUUUUGACACAACCUUGUCUGUGUGGAAUAUUGGGUAUGGGGGUCAGCUAUGAGAGCUCGUAGUUCACUUACUUAUGGCUAACUUAUGGUGACUAAGAUGACUAUCUUGAGAGUGAGGUGGUGUAGAGAACAGUCAGUGAGAGGCUAGAAGGACCUACUUCAAAGCUAUGACAAGUUUCCGAAGAGAUCUGCCUUUGAUCAACCAAUCAUCUAGUUAUGGGUAGACAUGAUGUCCUACCACGAGCUAGGCAUUUCAUGAAGACUCUUGGUUCUAUGGAAAGAGCACAUUGUAGAACAUUGUACUGGUAAUAAUUGGGCCCUACUCUGAAUUGCUGGUACUUCCUGUGUGCCGGCUGGUUGGCAAUGUGGAAGUAUGUGUCUUGAAGGCUGAGAGCCACAAGCCAUUGUUGUGUCUGAAGGGAAGGAACGAUGGAGGCAAGUGUUAUCAUCCUGAGUCUGAGACUGCAUAUGUAUUUGUUCAGUCUUCUCAGUUCUAGGAAAGGCAAAGACCCCCUUUUUUCUUCAGGAUAAGGAAAUAUUAGGAAAUCCAGAGGCACCCCUUCUAUAGCUCUGAGUCACAGCCAGGAAGCCACUUUUGCUUUUGGCUGUUUUUUGUGAGAAAGUUCCCAGAAGACGGAUAAGGAUGGGUAAAGCCUGAAAUUGGAUGGAAUCCAUGGGAGACAACUUUCAGCACCCAUCUGUCCAUGUGAGCAUGCUCAGUAGUAGCCAAACAACAAAUCUGGUGGGGGUACGUGACCCUGCCUGCCCCGCACACAUCACCUCAUUCCAAGUAGUUAGCCAAAAGUUGGGGUCCUGAGGGUGGUUUCUGUUAGAAGGAGAAAUUAGUGAUGGAGAGUCAACCCUGACAAGGUCUGAAUUGGCCCUACCUGUUAACCCCAGGACAGGCUGCAGAUGGAGGAGAGCCAGAGCUGAUAAGCUGUAAUUGAUGAUGAAGCCCAGCUGGGCAGAGCCAGGCUGUGUUGGUAUAUAAUCAGGAAGUGGCGAGUAAGAAGGAGCUGCAGGAAGAAACAGUGCAGCUAUGUCCUAGAGAGGGAUCUAGAAUACAGAUUCUGGCAAGAACCUGAGGAAAACGUGAAGUAGUCACAGGAGACAAAGGAGGUUCCAUUGGUAAACCCAGGGUGGACCAGAAAAGAGCGAAAGGAAGGUAGGAAAGAGCCUAACGAAACAGCAACAGGUCUGGGAUUAUUGGUCAUAGGAUUGCUAGGCUGGAACCUGGAGUAGUGGACAGACUCAAUUUUCUCUACCAGUUGCUGGGGAAGUGGCACAGUGUGGGCAGUGGAACAGACUUCCUGUGACAGAUCAUCCGGUGGCAUUUUGAUAUCCUGGAAAAGGCCAAGCCAAAAAAGGAAGCAUUCUGAGUUACAAAGAGGAAGCAAUCAAGCCCAGAGAGAGAUGGAGAGACGGGGCAAGCAACCAAAGGAGAGGGCAUCAGACUGUUCAAGAGCUAAUCCCCAGAGGCAGCCACAAACAGGCACCACAGCAAUGACCAUUUUACUUUCCACAUAAAACCAAAGGAAAAUCAAGAUCACUGGCAGUUAUGUUUGAUUAGAAACUUACGAAAGAAGUAAGACCAGUAAAGCAGGUUUUCCAACCAUUCUUGACUGUAAUGAGGAGGAUGAGCCAAGAUCACCUGAAGAAGCAAUAUGCAAACUAUAUGGGGCUCCUGUUGUGGAAGCACUGCAAACUUAUUUAGCCAAGCAUGAUUCUGAAGCUUUGAAGGGGAGGACUUUAAUUUUUUUUUCUUAGUUUAAGAAUUGGCAAAGCAACCUAAUUAUUAAAUUGCAUGAAACAACUUCUGUGUUUUUAUAUUUACUAAGAGUUAGCAUUAAUGAUUAUGCAAAAUAAAUCUGUCAUUAGUUGCUCUCUAUUUGCAUUGUGCCUGUUAAUAUGCUGCUGUUCAGACUAGGGCAGGGUAUAACGAGCAAUUCUACUUCUGAAAUAAAAAUUCUAUAUGUGAAACUACA